UUUUAUGAGAGUUUGAUCCUGGCUCAGGACGAACGCUGGCGGCGUGCCUAAUACAUGCAAGUCGAACGCUUUUUCUUUCACCGGAGCUUGCUCCACCGAAAGAAAAGGAGUGGCGAACGGGUGAGUAACACGUGGGUAACCUGCCCAUCAGAAGGGGAUAACACUUGGAAACAGGUGCUAAUACCGUAUAACAAUCGAAACCGCAUGGUUUCGGUUUGAAAGGCGCUUUUGCGUCACUGAUGGAUGGACCCGCGGUGCAUUAGCUAGUUGGUGAGGUAACGGCUCACCAAGGCAACGAUGCAUAGCCGACCUGAGAGGGUGAUCGGCCACAUUGGGACUGAGACACGGCCCAAACUCCUACGGGAGGCAGCAGUAGGGAAUCUUCGGCAAUGGACG
rnacentral:rRNA from 1 species